GCGAGUGAAGCGGCAAAAGCUCAAAUUUGAAACCCUCGGGAUUGUAAUUUGAAGAAUUGGCAUUGGAGAAAGCUAACCCAAGUUGCUUGGAAUAGUACGUCAUAGAGGGUGACAACCCCGUCUGGCUAACCGUUCUCCAUGUAUUGCCUUAUCAAAGAGUCGAGUUGUUUGGGAAUGCAGCUCAAAGUGGGUGGUAAACUCCAUCUAAAGCUAAAUACUGGUGAGAGACCGAUAGCGAACAAGUACUGUGAAGGAAAGGUGAAAAGAACUUUGAAAAGAGAGUGAAAUAGUAUGUGAAAUUGUUGAUAGGGAAGGAAAUGAGUGGAGAGUGGCCGAGGUUUCAGCCGCCCCUCGUGGGCGGUGUACUGCCGACGCCGAGUCAUCGAUAGCGAGACGAGGGUUACAAAUGGGAGCGCCUUUCGGGCGUUCUCCCCUAACCCUCCACACUGCCACCGACGACAUAAUCCACCCAUUUCAC
rnacentral:rRNA from 1 species